rnacentral:rRNA from 1 species
AAGACCUUGCACUUUUGGAGCGGCCGAUGUCUGAUUAGCUAGUUGGUAGGGUAAUGGCCUACCAAAGCUUCGAUCAGUAGCUGGUCUGAGAGGACGACCAGCCACACUGGGACUGAGACACGGCCCAGACUCCUACGGGAGGCAGCAGUGGGGAAUUUUGGACAAUGGGGGCAACCCUGAUCCAGCCAUGCCGCGUGAGUGAAGAAGGCCUUCGGGUUGUAAAGCUCUUUCAGCCGGGAAGAAAAGGUUGCGACUAAUAAUCGCAAUCCAUGACGGUACCGAAAGAAGAAGCACCGGCUAACUACGUGCCAGCAGCCGCGGUAAUACGUAGGGUGCGAGCGUUAAUCGGAAUUACUGGGCGUAAAGGGUGCGCAGGCGGUUUUGUAAGUCAGAUGUGAAAUCCCCGGGCUUAACCUGGGAACU